rnacentral:rRNA from 1 species
GACGAACGCUGGCGGCGUGCUUAACACAUGCAAGUCGAACGGAAAGGCCCUGCUUGCAGGGUGCUCGAGUGGCGAACGGGUGAGUAACACGUGGGUGAUCUGCCCCUUACUUUGGGAUAAGCCUGGGAAACCGGGUCUAAUACUGGAUAGGACCAUGCUGUAGGUGGUGUGGUGGAAAGAUUAGUUUCGGUAAGGGAUGAGCUCGCGGCCUAUCAGCUUGUUGGUGGGGUAAUGGCCUACCAAGGCGUCGACGGGUAGCCGGCCUGAGAGGGUGGACGGCCACAUUGGGACUGAGAUACGGCCCAGACUCCUACGGGAGGCAGCAGUGGGGAAUAUUGCACAAUGGGCGCAAGCCUGAUGCAGCGACGCCGCGUGGGGGAUGACGGCCUUCGGGUUGUAAACUCCUUUCAGCCAUGACGAAGCCCUUGUGGUGACGGUAGUGGUAGAAGAAGCACCGGCUAACUACGUG